rnacentral:lncRNA from 1 species
GUUAAGGGUGCCUUAGCCAUAGAGGGAGACUUUUUCAGAAGUCAGACUUUAUUUGCUAAGUGUUCACUUCUCUCUCUAGAACCUUGCCCUAACCUUGUGCUCUGCCUUCUCUCUACAUUUCCAACACUUUGAACCGUUCAAUUUUUUAUCGUGUGCUGCCAAAUCAUUCUUGGUGUAGAGAGCUUCAAUUCUACCGAUCG